UACGGAGGGGGCGAGCGUUGUUCGGAAUCACUGGGUGUAAAGGGUGCGUAGGCGGUCCGUUAAGUCUGAUGUGAAAUCCCUGGGCUCAACUCAGGAAUGGCAUUGGAAACUGGCAGGCUAGAGUACGGGAGAGGGAAGCGGAAUUCCUGGUGUAGCGGUGAAAUGCGUAGAUAUGGCAUAGAACACCAAUUGCGAAGGCAGCUUACUUCACGAUCAUUGACACUGAGGCACGAAAGCGUGGGGAGCAAACAGG
rnacentral:rRNA from 1 species